rnacentral:rRNA from 1 species
UUCAGAUCGCAGUCUGCAACCCGACUGCGUGAAGUCGGAAUCGCUAGUAAUCGCGGAUCAGCGUGCCGCGGUGAAUACGUUCCCGGGCCUUGUACACACCGCCCGUCACACCAUGAGAGUCGGGAACACCCGAAGUCCGUAGCCUAACCGCAAGGGGGGCGCGGCCGAAGGUGGGUUCGAUAAUUGGGGUGAAGUCGUAACAAGGUAGC